rnacentral:rRNA from 1 species
AGAGUUUGAUUCUGGCUCAGAUUGAACGCUGGCGGAAUGCUUUACACAUGCAAGUCGAACGGCAGCACGGGAGCUUGCUCCUGGUGGCGAGUGGCGAACGGGUGAGUAAUGCGUCGGAACGUACCGAGUAAUGGGGGAUAACGCAGCGAAAGCUGUGCUAAUACCGCAUACGCCCUGAGGGGGAAAGUGGGGGAUCGCAAGACCUCACGUUAUUCGAGCGGCCGACGUCUGAUUAGCUAGUUGGUGGGGUAAAGGCUCACCAAGGCGACGAUCAGUAGCGGGUCUGAGAGGAUGAUCCGUCACACUGGAACUGAGACACGGUCCAGACUCCUACGGGAGGCAGCAGUGGGGAAUUUUGGACAAUGGGGGCAACCCUGAUCCAGCCAUUCCGCGUGAGUGAAGAAGGCCUUCGGGUUGUAAAGCUCUUUCAGCCGGAACGAAACGGUACGCACUAAUAUUGUAUGCUAAUGACGGUACCGGCAGAAGAAGCACCGGCUAACUACGUGCCAGCAGCCGCGGUAAUACGUAGGGUGCGAGCGUUAAUCGGAAUUACUGGGCGUAAAGCGUGCGCAGGCGGAUUGUUAAGCAAGAUGUGAAAUCCCCGGGCUUAACCUGGGAAUGGCAUUUUGAACUGGCAGUCUAGAGUGUGUCAGAGGGGGGUGGAAUUCCACGUGUAGCAGUGAAAUGCGUAGAUAUGUGGAGGAACACCAAUGGCGAAGGCAGCCCCCUGGGAUAACACUGACGCUCAUGUACGAAAGCGUGGGUAGCAAACAGGAUUAGAUACCCUGGUAGUCCACGCCCUAAACGAUGUCAACUGGUUGUUGGGGGAGUGAAAUCCCUUAGUAACGAAGCUAACGCGUGAAGUUGACCGCCUGGGGAGUACGGUCGCAAGAUUAAAACUCAAA